rnacentral:tRNA from 3 species
GCGAGUGUGGCGGAAUUGGUAGACGCGCUGGCUUCAGGUGCCAGUGGGGGUAACCCUGUGAGAGUUCGAGUCUCUCCAUUCGCACCA